rnacentral:rRNA from 1 species
UACGAAGGGUGCAAACGUUGUUCGGAAUUACUGGGCGUAAAGCGCACGUAGGCGGCUUUGUAAGUUAGAGGUGAAAGCCCGGGGCUCAACCCCGGAAUAGCCUUUAAGACUGCAUCGCUUGAACACGGGAGAGGUGAGUGGAAUUCCGAGUGUAGAGGUGAAAUUCGUAGAUAUUCGGAAGAACACCAGUGGCGAAGGCGGCUCACUGGACCGUUGUUGACGCUGAGGUGCGAAAGCGUGGGGAGCAAACAGG